rnacentral:rRNA from 1 species
UAAAACUUUCAACAACGGAUCUCUUGGUUCUGGCAU